rnacentral:rRNA from 1 species
UACGUAGGGCGCAAGCGUUGUCCGGAAUUAUUGGGCGUAAAGCGCGUGUAGGCGGCCUGUUAUGUCGGGUGUGAAAGCCCUCAGCUUAACUGAGGAAGUGCGCCCGAAACUGGCAGGCUUGAGUCCCGGAGAGGAGAGCGGAACACCCGGUGUAGAGGUGAAAUUCGUAGAUAUCGGGUAGAACACCAGUGGCGAAGGCGGCUCUCUGGACGGGUACUGACGCUGAGACGCGAAAGCGUGGGGAGCGAACAGG